GUGGGGAAUCUUGCGCAAUGGGCGAAAGCCUGACGCAGCAACGCCGCGUGCGGGAUGAAGGCCUUCGGGUUGUAAACCGCUUUCAGCAGGGACGAAAAUGACGGUACCUGCAGAAGAAGCUCCGGCUAACUACGUGCCAGCAGUCGCGGUAAUACGUAGGGAGCAAGCGUUGUCCGGAUUUAUUGGGCGUAAAGAGCUCGUAGGCGGUUUCGUAAGUCGAGUGUGAAAAAUCUGGGCUUAACCCAGUGGAGCACUCGAUACUGCGAUGACUUGAGUCUGGUAGAGGAGUGUGGAAUUCCUGGUGUAGCGGUGAAAUGCGCAGAUAUCAGGAGGAACACCAACGGCGAAGGCAGCACUCUGGGCCAGUACUGACGCUGAGGAGCGAAAGCGUGGGGAGCAAACAGGAUUAGAAACCCGUGUAGUCC
rnacentral:rRNA from 1 species